UAUUUAUUUCCAAUUGUAUUACUGCGUAUCACUUGUCUUAUCCCCUAUUGAGAGUUAGAUCUAGGUCAAGUUGACUGUAAAAUGCAGCAUGUGGCAUUCAGUAGGUGUAGUCCGUUAGCCGUCCUGUUUACUAUCUCUCCACUAUAGGAAGGACUCUUUAAUAUUACGAAACCAAAGAUAGUCUAUUUUGUAUUUCAAAGCAACAUGGUAGCAUUUUGAAUCCCAGCUAGAUCGAUAGCCCUUUACUGAGAUGUAAAACAUGUGUUUAACAUUUUUUUGUGAUAUGCACAACACUGCAGUAUAUCUACUUGUCUUACCAGUUAAAAUCUUCAAAAAUAUGGCUAGAGGAAAAUCAAAAAUGCUCCAGUGACUCUGAAAAAUCUUGUGUGUUAAAGCUCUGAAGUGCCCUCUAUGUGAUUAUUCAACCAACGACAAGAGUAACUUUCGCCGUCACAAACGUCUCCACCUCAGGAACAAUCCUGUGAAUGUCCUUAAAUGUGACAAGUGCACUUAUUCAACAAUCUU
rnacentral:misc_RNA from 1 species